rnacentral:rRNA from 1 species
CGCUGCGACGCGGGCGGUUCGCUGCCCGCGACUUGGCGAAGAAUCCAUUGAACCUUAUCAUUUAGAGGAAGGAGAAGUCGUAACAAGGUUUCCGUAGGUGAACCUGCGGAAGGAUCAUUG